AGAGUUUGAUCAUGGCUCAGGACGAACGCUGGCGGCGUGCUUAACACAUGCAAGUCGAACGGUGAAGCGCCCUCCUUUUUGGUGGGUGUGGAUGAGUGGCGAACGGGUGAGUAACACGUGAGUAACCUGCCCCCUUCUUCUGGAUAACCGCAUGAAAGUGUGGCUAAUACGGGAUAUUCUGUGCCUGCUGCAUGGUGGGUGUGGGAAAGAUUGCGCUUUUUUGGUGUUUUUGGUGGGGGAUGGGCUCGCGGCCUAUCAGCUUGUUGGUGGGGUGAUGGCCUACCAAGGCGGUGACGGGUAGCCGGCCUGAGAGGGUGGACGGUCACACUGGGACUGAGACACGGCCCAGACUCCUACGGGAGGCAGCAGUGGGGAAUAUUGCACAAUGGGCGCAAGCCUGAUGCAGCGACGCCGCGUGAGGGAUGGAGGCCUUCGGGUUGUGAACCUCUUUCGCCAGUGAAGCAGGCCUGCUCCUUUUUUGUGGGUGGGUUGACGGUAGCUGGAUAAGAAGCGCCGGCUAACUACGUGCCAGCAGCCGCGGUAAUACGUAGGGCGCGAGCGUUGUCCGGAAUUAUUGGGCGUAAAGAGCUCGUAGGCGGCUGGUCGCGUCUGUCGUGAAAUCCUCUGGCUUAACUGGGGGCUUGCGGUGGGUACGGGCCGGCUUGAGUGCGGUAGGGGAGACUGGAACUCCUGGUGUAGCGGUGGAAUGCGCAGAUAUCAGGAAGAACACCGGUGGCGAAGGCGGGUCUCUGGGCCGUUACUGACGCUGAGGAGCGAAAGCGUGGGGAGCGAACAGGAUUAGAUACCCUGGUAGUCCACGCCGUAAACGUUGGGCACUAGGUGUGGGGGGCCUUUUCCGGGUUUUCCGCGCCGUAGCUAACGCAUUAAGUGCCCCGCCUGGGGAGUACGGCCGCAAGGCUAAAACUCAAAGGAAUUGACGGGGGCCCGCACAAGCGGCGGAGCAUGCGGAUUAAUUCGAUGCAACGCGAAGAACCUUACCAAGGCUUGACAUGUGCCGGUCGGCUCCGGAGACGGGGUUUCCUCCUUGUGGGGCCGGUUCACAGGUGGUGCAUGGUUGUCGUCAGCUCGUGUCGUGAGAUGUUGGGUUAAGUCCCGCAACGAGCGCAACCCUUGUCUCGUGUUGCCAGCACGUUGUGGUGGGGACUCGCGGGAGACUGCCGGGGUCAACUCGGAGGAAGGUGGGGAUGACGUCAAAUCAUCAUGCCCCUUAUGUCUUGGGCUUCACGCAUGCUACAAUGGCCGGUACAGAGGGCUGCGAUACCGUGAGGUGGAGCGAAUCCCUUAAAGCCGGUCUCAGUUCGGAUCGGUGUCUGCAACUCGACACCGUGAAGUUGGAGUCGCUAGUAAUCGCAGAUCAGCAACGCUGCGGUGAAUACGUUCUCGGGCCUUGUACACACCGCCCGUCA
rnacentral:rRNA from 1 species